ensembl:rRNA 5S_rRNA 5S ribosomal RNA
UCAGGUCAACAUAGCCGGCAGCUAACUCUCUGCAACUCUUACAUGGUUGCCCACUGUUGCUAAGCAGGCCUGCGCAUGGUCAGUACCUGGGUGGGAGACCACAUGGAAAAGCUAGGUUGGUGCUGGA